UGGCUGAGUUGGUAGAGCAUGGCCCUUGCAAUGCUAGGGUUGUGGGUUUGAUUCCCAC
rfam:Salmo salar isolate Sally breed double haploid chromosome ssa19, whole genome shotgun sequence.